rnacentral:rRNA from 1 species
CUGUCGUCAGCUCGUGUUGUGAAAUGUUGGGUUAAGUCCCGCAACGAGCGCAACCCUUAUCCUUUGUUGCCAGCGGUUCGGCCGGGAACUCAAAGGAGACUGCCAGUGAUAAACUGGAGGAAGGUGGGGAUGACGUCAAGUCAUCAUGGCCCUUACGAGUAGGGCUACACACGUGCUACAAUGGCGCAUACAAAGAGAAGCGACCUCGCGAGAGCAAGCGGACCUCAUAAAGUGCGUCGUAGUCCGGAUUGGAGUCUGCAACUCGACUCCAUGAAGUCGGAAUCGCUAGUAAUCGUAGAUCAGAAUGCUACGGUGAAUACGUUCCCGGGCCUUGUACACACCGCCCGUCACACCAUGGGAGUGGGUUGCAAAAGAAGUAGGUAGCUUAACCUUCGGGAGGGCGCUUACCACUUUGUGAUUCAUGACUGGGGUGAAGUCGUAACAAGGUAACCGUAGGGGAACCUGCGGUUGGAUCACCUCCUUACCUUAAAGAA